rnacentral:rRNA from 1 species
AUACGAGGGGAGCUAGUGUUGUUCGGAUUUACUGGGCGUAAAGAGAACGUAGGCGGACAUCUAAGUCAGAUAGUGAAAUUUCGGGGCUCAACCCUGAACCUGCUUUUGAAACUGGUUGUCUUGAAUAUAAAAGAGGAUGAUAGAAUUUCUGGUGUAGCGGUGGAAUGCGUAGAUAUCAGAAGGAAUACCAAUAGCGAAGGCAGUCAUCUGGGUUAAUAUUGACGCUGAGGUUCGAAAGCGUGGGGAGCAAACAGGAUUAGAUACCCCAGUAGUCC